CGGGACACGUGGUAUCCUGUCUGAAUAUGGGGGGACCAUCCUCCAAGGCUAAAUACUCCUGACUGACCGAUAGUGAACCAGUACCGUGAGGGAAAGGCGAAAAGAACCCCGGCGAGGGGAGUGAAAAAGAACCUGAAACCGUGUACGUACAAGCAGUGGGAGCACGCUUAGGCGUGUGACUGCGUACCUUUUGUAUAAUGGGUCAGCGACUUAUAUUCUGUAGCAAGGUUAACCGAAUAGGGGAGCCGAAGGGAAACCGAGUCUUAACUGGGCGUUAAGUUGCAGGGUAUAGACCCGAAACCCGGUGAUCUAGCCAUGGGCAGGUUGAAGGUUGGGUAACACUAACUGGAGGACCGAACCGACUAAUGUUGAAAAAUUAGCGGAUGACUUGUGGCUGGGGGUGAAAGGCCAAUCAAACCGGGAGAUAGCUGGUUCUCCCCGAAAGCUAUUUAGGUAGCGCCUCGUGAAUUCAUCUCCGGGGGUAGAGCACUGUUUCGGCAAGGGGGUCAUCCCGACUUACCAACCCGAUGCAAACUGCGAAUACCGGAGAAUGUUAUCACGGGAGACACACGGCGGGUGCUAACGUCCGUCGUGAAGAGGGAAACAACCCAGACCGCCAGCUAAGGUCCCAAAGUCAUGGUUAAGUGGGAAACGAUGUGGGAAGGCCCAGACAGCCAGGAUGUUGGCUUAGAAGCAGCCAUCAUUUAAAGAAAGCGUAAUAGCUCACUGGUCGAGUCGGCCUGCGCGGAAGAUGUAACGGGGCUAAACCAUGCACCGAAGCUGCGGCAGCGACGCUGAUGCGUUGUUGGGUAGGGGAGCGUUCUGUAAGCCUGUGAAGGUGUGCUGUGAGGCAUGCUGGAGGUAUCAGAAGUGCGAAUGCUGACAUAAGUAACGAUAAAGCGGGUGAAAAGCCCGCUCGCCGGAAGACCAAGGGUUCCUGUCCAACGUUAAUCGGGGCAGGGUGAGUCGACCCCUAAGGCGAGGCCGAAAGGCGUAGUCGAUGGGAAACAGGUUAAUAUUCCUGUACUUGGUGUUACUGCGAAGGGGGGACGGAGAAGGCUAUGUUGGCCGGGCGACGGUUGUCCCGGUUUAAGCGUGUAGGCUGGUUUUCCAGGCAAAUCCGGAAAAUCAAGGCUGAGGCGUGAUGACGAGGCACUACGGUGCUGAAGCAACAAAUGCCCUGCUUCCAGGAAAAGCCUCUAAGCAUCAGGUAACAUCAAAUCGUACCCCAAACCGACACAGGUGGUCAGGUAGAGAAUACCAAGGCGCUUGAGAGAACUCGGGUGAAGGAACUAGGCAAAAUGGUGCCGUAACUUCGGGAGAAGGCACGCUGAUAUGUAGGUGAAGCGACUUGCUCGUGGAGCUGAAAUCAGUCGAAGAUACCAGCUGGCUGCAACUGUUUAUUAAAAACACAGCACUGUGCAAACACGAAAGUGGACGUAUACGGUGUGACGCCUGCCCGGUGCCGGAAGGUUAAUUGAUGGGGUCAGCGCAAGCGAAGCUCUUGAUCGAAGCCCCGGUAAACGGCGGCCGUAACUAUAACGGUCCUAAGGUAGCGAAAUUCCUUGUCGGGUAAGUUCCGACCUGCACGAAUGGCGUAAUGAUGGCCAGGCUGUCUCCACCCGAGACUCAGUGAAAUUGAACUCGCUGUGAAGAUGCAGUGUACCCGCGGCAAGACGGAAAGACCCCGUGAACCUUUACUAUAGCUUGACACUGAACAUUGAGCCUUGAUGUGUAGGAUAGGUGGGAGGCUUUGAAGUGUGGACGCCAGUCUGCAUGGAGCCGACCUUGAAAUACCACCCUUUAAUGUUUGAUGUUCUAACGUGGACCCGUAAUCCGGGUUGCGGACAGUGUCUGGUGGGUAGUUUGACUGGGGCGGUCUCCUCCUAAAGAGUAACGGAGGAGCACGAAGGUUGGCUAAUCCUGGUCGGACAUCAGGAGGUUAGUGCAAUGGCAUAAGCCAGCUUGACUGCGAGCGUGACGGCGCGAGCAGGUGCGAAAGCAGGUCAUAGUGAUCC
rnacentral:rRNA from 1 species